CCCUUAGAUGUUCUGGGCCGCACGCGCGCUACACUGGCUGGCUCAACAAGCAUCUCACCUGCGCUGGCGUGCGGGUUGGUGUGUGUGUGGAGUUUACUCCCUGCUGCAUCAGCUCAGCGCUGCUUAGCUCUGCUAAGUCGAGAGGCGUGGGCAAUCUUGAAAGGCCAGCCGUGUCUGGGAUAGGCUCUUGCAAUUUUCAGCCUUGAACGAGGAAUUCCUAGUAAAUGUGGGUCAUCAACCCGCAUUGAUUACGUCCCUGCCCUUUGUACACACCGCCCGUCGCUCCUACCGAUUGAGUGGUCCGGUGAAUAAUUCGGACCUACGAGACUAGGGGUUCGCUCCUUAUCUUGUGGGAAAGUCUAGUGAACCUUAUCACUUAGAGGAAGGAGAAGUCGUANCA
rnacentral:rRNA from 1 species